AACGCACAUUGCGCCCUUUGGUAUUCCAAAGGGCAUGCCUGUUCGAGCGUCAUUUGUACCCUCAAGCUUUGCUUGGUGUUGGGCGUCUUGUCUCCAGUUUGCUGGGGACUCGCCUUAAAGUUAUUGGCAGCCGGCCUACUGGUUUCGGAGCGCAGCACAAGUCGCGCUCUCUUCCAGCCAAGGUCAGCAUCCACAAAGCCUUUUUUCAACUUUUGACCUCGGAUCAGGUAGGGAUACCCGCUGAACUUAA
rnacentral:misc_RNA from 1 species